UACGAAGGGGGCUAGCGUUGCUCGGAAUUACUGGGCGUAAAGCGCACGUAGGCGGAUCUUUAAGUCAGGGGUGAAAUCCUGGAGCUCAACUCCAGAACUGCCUUUGAUACUGAGGACCUUGAGUUCGGGAGAGGUGAGUGGAACUGCGAGUGUAGAGGUGAAAUUCGUAGAUAUUCGGAAGAACACCAGUGGCGAAGGUGGCUCACUGGACCGUUAUUGACGCUGAGGUGCGAAAGCGUGGGGAGCAAACAGG
rnacentral:rRNA from 1 species